rnacentral:rRNA from 1 species
UUAAAUUGAAGAGUUUGAUCAUGGCUCAGAUUGAACGCUGGCGGCAGGCCUAACACAUGCAAGUCGAACGGUAACAGGAAACAGCUUGCUGUUUCGCUGACGAGUGGCGGACGGGUGAGUAAUGUCUGGGAAACUGCCUGAUGGAGGGGGAUAACUACUGGAAACGGUAGCUAAUACCGCAUAACGUCGCAAGACCAAAGAGGGGGACCUUCGGGCCUCUUGCCAUCGGAUGUGCCCAGAUGGGAUUAGCUAGUAGGGUGGGGUAACGGCUCACCUAGGCGACGAUCCCUAGCUGGUCUG